AGGAUAGAGGCGCGGACGUCAAGAGUACCGCGCGGUGCAAGGUGUUCGCAGCACCGUUGCCGCGUGAAAAAGGGGCGGCCGCCGAAGGCGGGCGAGGCGAAGUCCGUCUGGUCAUGCGCAUAAGAUGCGUAUGACUGUCGCGUUUGCGGAGAGCUAUGGAU
rnacentral:ncRNA from 1 species